CCUACGGGCAGCAGCAGUGGGGGAUAUUGCACAAUGGGGGAAACCCUGAUGCAGCGACGCCGCGUGGGUGAAGAAGCGCCUCGGCGCGUAAAGCCCUGUCAGCAGGGAAGAAAAUGACGGUACCUGAAGAAGAAGCCCCGGCUAACUACGUGCCAGCAGCCGCGGUAAUACGUAGGGGGCAAGCGUUAUCCGGAUUUACUGGGUGUAAAGGGGGCGCAGACGGCGAUGCAAGCCAGGAGUGAAAGCCCGGGGCCCAACCCCGGGACUGCUCUUGGAACUGCGUGGCUAGAGUGCAGGAGGGGCAGGCGGAAUUCCUGGUGUAGUGGUGAAAUGCGUAGAUAUCAGGAGGAACACCGGUGGCGAAGGCGGCCUGCUGGACUGCAACUGACGUUGAGGCCCGAAAGCGUGGGGAGCAAACAGGAUUAGAUACCCCAGUAGUC
rnacentral:rRNA from 1 species